UAUAAAUGAAAUUCAAAUUGAAAUUAUAAUGAACUUGAAAUUAAGUUAAAUUGUCUUUGGUUUUUAGCUUCUGUUAUGGAGUCUGCUUUCAAUUGCUCGAUUUUUGAAUUUUCAUUAAUUAUUUGGUUGAUGCGUUUCUGAUUCUUUCAGUUGGUAGUCUGAAUUCAAAAAUUCAGUUAUGAUGUUCCAAACGCAAUUGCUGACAUGUUAGUUUUACUUGUCACGACAAGUAUUACCAUUGUGCAUUCUGAUAAGCUUUCUUCAACAAAUAUUUCAAGGUCGGUGCAUAGCAAGCUCAACAUAUAGUUUCCCUGUUAAAAGUCUGCCAAAUGGAGGUCGGGUACGAGAGGUUAGCAUGGUUUUGCAACUUGGCACAGAUUAGAUUGGGAACUUUGUAAUUUUAUAGUAAAUUGUAAUAUGAAUAAUGUAAUGAACAAUGGAUUUGAAGAAAAGAAAAUUUUGUUAUGAAAAAUGAUUGAAAAUAGUUUAUGGGAUAUGAAUUUAAAACGGUAUGUUGUUAUUUGGAUGUAUAAAGCAAAGUUGAAAUGUAAA